rnacentral:rRNA from 1 species
AUGGCCACACCCACCGAUGAACCCACCAUCACCAUGGAGACCUGCGGCGACGUCUCCGACGACCCCACCAUGGAGACCAUCGGUGUCCUCUCCGAUGUUCCCAUUGUGAGCAAAAGCCUCCCUAUAGGCGCCGUCUCCGCCAAUUUCAAGGUCACUCGUGGCUUCGGUGGAAUCGCGGAGAACGCCAAGGUGAACGUCGACAGGCUGUAUCUGCGCCAGAUCAUGACGGGCUGGGACGCGAAUCAGUCGGAUGUGAUAAAGCCCAAUGCCGUAACUGGGCUAGGUAAAACUGCUGUGAACAACUGGGGGAUCUAUGACGGCCCUGGCCCCAAGGCGAAACUGGUUGCCAAAACGCACGGCAUGCACACAUUUGCCGGCAAAUGGAGCAAUUGGUUCACCCUGGUGUUUGUGGUCGAAAGGUUCGAAGCGUCCACUCUUCAGGUUAUGGGAGCUAAUGAUGAGGAUGAGGCAGAUAAUGAGUGGGCCAUUGUAGGUGGGACCGGUGAAUUCGAGAUGGCUCGCGGUAUCAUCCAGAGAAGAGUAUAUAGUGUAACAGACAAUACAUUAACACAUGUGCUUACUAUUGAAUUCUUCUGCCGCAUGAAGGAGGUCGUCCCUGCACCUACAAAGAGAGGAACAGUUGGUGGAAAUAAAGGCUCCCUGCUUUGGGAAAUGGAAGGCAAAUCCCAACGUCUAGAAAAUGUAACAAUCUACCAUGUAGGUGCCGUUGAAGGGUUCCAAUUUUCCUACGUUGAUGAAGACGGGAAAAUCCGCACCACUGGUACUUGGGGUCGAGUACAUCUUGAUCCUUUGCGCAAGACGGAAAUAAAGUUUGGCCCAUCAGAGUUUGUGAAAAAGAUCAAUGGGGCUCAGAGAGGCGGGGGCUGGCUAUCAAAAUUUGAGAUCGUCACCACCCACAAAACGUAUGGUCCUUUUGGAAGUGACAUCGGCACUCCACAUUUCAGCUAUACCGUGCCGGAGGACGAGACCGUGGUGGGCUUCUUCGCAAACACUGAUAACGUUUUCGUCACUUCAAUUGGUGUUUACACCAUCUAA